GGAAAGUAGAUAUAAAGGUCACGUUUAAUACAUUCUGAAAUAUACUUUGGCAAGAAGCACUAAGAACUUAUCAAAACACAGUCAAUCGAGGCAAAACGAAGCUCUCUGAAGCGAUAAGCCUUUUUUCAGGUUUAAUGGGGUUCAAGUUUUUCAAGCGAACUAACAGCACAAGCCAGCCCCAGGCGAGGAGACGAUCCUUAAGCUUUAGUUUCCGUCGAAGAAGCCGUCAUGGCAGAGAGGAACGGAGUACAGAGAAUGGAAACACUUUAGCAGUUCGGCAGCGAACAAACUCCGAGAAAAGGAGAUCUAGAGAAGUUGGCGAAGCUUUGCGAGCUAUCGGCGAUGAUCUCAACAACAGCACGUUGAGUCUUCACACUGCAACGUAGUGGAUUAGUGGACGAGUGGAAAUAGAUAAAAAAGGAAAUACUUCGCGGCCUUUAUCGCCAGCUUUUGCAGUAUUGAGCAAACCAAGUGAUGAAAGAUCUAGUGCGGUGCAGCAAGCAGAAUUUUUACAAACAUUGAAAGUAGAAACAUGGAC